GCUUGCACAAAAUGAUUUAGUGGCGAAUCGGGAGAGUAAACACGUGAGUAACGCUGCCCUUUAACUUCGGGAUAAAGCUUGGGAAACCGGGUCUAAUACCGGAUACGACGGAUUCCCACAUGGGGGUCCGUGGAAAGCUUGAUGCGGUUUUGGGAUGGACUCGCGGCCUAUCAGCUAGUUGGUUGGGGUAAUGGUCCACCAAGGCGACGACGGGUAGCCGGCCUGAGAGGGUGACCGGCCACACUGGGAUUGAGACACGGCCCAGACUCCUACGGGAGGCAGCAGUGGGGAAUAUUGCACAAUGGGCGAAAGCCUGAUGCAGCGACGCCGCGUGAGGGACGAAGGCCUUCGGGUUGUAAACCUCUUUCAGCAGGGAAGAAGCGAAAGUGACGGUACCUGCAGAAGAAGCGCCGGCUAACUACGUGCCAGCAGCCGCGGUAAUACGUAGGGCGCAAGCGUUAUCCGGAAUUAUUGGGCGUAAAGAGCUCGUAGGCGGUUUGUCGCGUCUGCUGUGAAAGCCCGGGGCUCAACCCCGGGUCUGCAGUGGGUACGGGCAGACUAGAGUGCAGUAGGGGAGACUGGAAUUCCUGGUGUAGCGGUGAAAUGCGCAGAUAUCAGGAGGAACACCGAUGGCGAAGGCAGGUCUCUGGGCUGUAACUGACGCUGAGGAGCGAAAGCAUGGGGAGCGAACAGGAUUAGAUACCCUGGUAGUCCAUGCCGUAAACGUUGGGCAAUAGGUGGGGGGGCAUUCCACAUUUUUCCGCUCCAUAGCUAACGCAUUAAGUGCCCCGCUUGGGGAGUACGGCGGCAAGGCUAAAACUCAAAGGAAUUGACGGGGGCCCGCACAAGCGGCGGAGCAUGCGGAUUAAUUUGAUGCAACGCGAAGAACCUUACCAAGGCUUGACAUGAACCGGAAAGGCCGGGAAACAGGUCCCCCACUUGUGGCCGGUUUACAGGUGGAGCAUGGUUGUCGUCAGCUCGCGUCGUGAGAUGUUGGGUUAAGUCCCGCAACGAGCGCAACCCUCGUUCUAUGUUGCCAGCGGGUUAUGCCGGGGACUCAUAGGAGACUGCCGGGGUCAACUCGAAGGAAGGUGGGGAGGACGUCAAAUCAUCAUGCCCCUUAUGUCUUGGGCUUCACGCAGGCUAUCAAUGGCCGGUACAAAGGGUGGCGAUACUGCGAGGUGGAGCUAAUCCCAAAAAACCGGUUUCAGUUAGGAUUGAGGUCUGCAACUCGACCUCAUGAAGAUUGGAGUCCCUCGUAGUCGCAGAUCAGCAACGCCCUGGUGAAGAAGGUUCGGGCCCCCGCACAAACCGCC
rnacentral:rRNA from 1 species